rnacentral:snoRNA from 1 species
CCCAGUCCUCAGUCAGCUGGCAGACUGGUGUCCGUCAGUGUUACAGGGCUGGUAGAGGAAGUUCUGCGGGCGCCUCGAUGCAUGCUCGGUUCUAGAGCAUGUCUGCGAGGUGCUGCAGAACGCAGGUCUGUCAGG